GUCCUCAUCCCCGAUGAGCAGCCAUUUCCAACUCAGCGUCCAACUCGCCGCUAUCUAUUACCAUCAUCGCCGUUAUUACCGCCGCUCGUCCACAUCAAAGGCCGCAUCAAAGCCGGCCUCAUCGGGGACGACUUUCACAUGGGAUGAAGAUUUGAUAUAGAUGUUUUCCUUCGCAGCAGCAAACAACAAAGAUGGCUGUUCUUGAGCUCGGCGCUUAUUUUCAUUCCACAAUCAGUUAUCUGCUGCUGGAAGCGUGACGCCCUAGACGCGUUAGGAGACUCAAGCUUUUCCAGAGAGGCCGAGGUUGGAGGGAUGAGUCAGACGGCGAGGAAAACAAAGCAGCAGGCAGGAACCUGCAAGGAUUACGCUCUCAUCUUGUGGAAACCAGACACCGCAACCGGAGCUACUGCAGCCUGCUCACUGACAACAUGCAGUGUGUGUGUGUGUGUGUGUGUGUGUGUGUGUGUGUGUGUGUGUUCGCUUGGCUAACAAGAUUCUCAUUACUAUAAAAAAUGAGAACUGUAGCUAAAUUGGACACUGAGACGAUUAAAAAGCAACAAAUGUGUGUGUUUGGUAAAAGAAAAUCACUUUCAAGCUUUUGGGGUAAAAAACGGCUUCUUCUUUAAAGUCGAUGAUAAUUUAAUAAUAUAAACAUGCGUUUGAUGGUCACAUGAAGUGAAACCUCGGCGAUGUCUGUGAAUGCUUAGUGGGAGUAACGGAGAUACAGUAAUUGAUGCCCUUUCUCUCCUUAAACGUUGGGUGCAUAAUCCUUGUCUCCGACGUCAGAAAGAACAAUACAAAACGCACCAACAUCCAAUCUUCACGAACCUCCGAGACAAUAAACCUUUGUGGAAAUCUC